rfam:Prevotella sp. CAG:1092 genomic scaffold, scf598
GUCCUGAAUGUAAUGAGGACCCACUCUCUGCAAAGUGCAGAGGGCCGAAGAAUGUAUAACUUCAGAAAUUAAACAGACUAGAAAA